rnacentral:rRNA from 1 species
UUCCAGACUCCUACGGGAGGCAGCAGUGGGGAAUAUUGCACAAUGGGGGAAACCCUGAUGCAGCGACGCCGCGUGAGUGAAGAAGUAAUUCGUUAUGUAAAGCUCUAUCAGCAGGGAAGAAAGUGACGGUACCUGAGUAAGAAGCCCCGGCUAACUACGUGCCAGCAGCCGCGGCAAUACGUAGGGGGCAAGCGUUAUCCGGAUUUACUGGGCGUAAAGGGAGCGCAGGCGGCGCGCCAAGUCUGAUGUGAAACCCCGGGGCUCAACCCCGGGCAUGCAUUGGAAACUGGCGGGCUGGAGUGCCGGAGAGGUAAGCGGAAUUCCUAGUGUAGCGGUGAAAUGCGUAGAUAUUAGGAGGAACACCAGUGGCGAAGGCGGCUUACUGGACGGCAACUGACGCUGAGGCUCGAAAGCGUGGGGAGCAAACAGGAUUAGAUACCCGCGUAC